AUUGAACGCUGGCGGCAUGCCUUACACAUGCAAGUCGAACGGCAGCACGGGUGCUUGCACCUGGUGGCGAGUGGCGAACGGGUGAGUAAUACAUCGGAACAUGUCCUGUAGUGGGGGAUAGCCCGGCGAAAGCCGGAUUAAUACCGCAUACGAUCUACGGAUGAAAGCGGGGGACCUUCGGGCCUCGCGCUAUAGGGUUGGCCGAUGGCUGAUUAGCUAGUUGGUGGGGUAAAGGCCUACCAAGGCGACGAUCAGUAGCUGGUCUGAGAGGACGACCAGCCACACUGGAACUGAGACACGGCCCAGACUCCUACGGGAGGCAGCAGUGGGGAAUUUUGGACAAUGGGCGAAAGCCUGAUCCAGCAAUGCCGCGUGUGUGAAGAAGGCCUUCGGGUUGUAAAGCACUUUUGUCCGGAAAGAAAUCCUUGGCCCUAAUACGGUCGGGGGAUGACGGUACCGGAACAAUAAGCACCGGCUAACUACGUG
rnacentral:rRNA from 1 species